UCAUGGCCAAUGAUGAUUCUAAAUACACUCUGAGUAAUCGCUAUGAAAAGAAUCGAAUCUGAGGCUGUAU